rnacentral:rRNA from 1 species
AAGCGGCAACAGCUCAAAUUUGAAAGCUGGCUCCUUCGGAGUCCGCAUUGUAAUUUGUAGAGGAUGAUUCGGCGAGGGCUCCCGCCUAAGUCCACUGGAACGUGGCGUCAUAGAGGGUGAGAAUCCCGUAUGCGGUGGGUUGCCUUAGCCAUGUGAAUCUCCUUCGACGAGUCGAGUUGUUUGGGAAUGCAGCUCUAAAUGGGAGGUAAAUUUCUUCUAAAGCUAAAUACCGGCCAGAGACCGAUAGCGCACAAGUAGAGUGAUCGAAAGAUGAAAAGCACUUUGGAAAGAGAGUUAAAAAGUACGUGAAAUUGUUGAAAGGGAAGGGCUUGCAACCAGACUUGUCCGCAGUUGCUCAGCCGGUCUCCUGACCGGCGUACUCUUCUGCGGCCAGGCCAGCAUCAGUUCGGGCGGUCGGAUAAAGACCUAGGGAAUGUAGCUCCUCUCGGGGAGUGUUAUAGCCCUGGGUGGAAUGCGACCAGCCUGGACUGAGGAUCUCGCUUCGGCAAGGAUGCUGGCGUAAUGGUUGUAAGCCGCCCGUCUUGAAACACGGACCAAGGAGUCUAACAUCUAUGCGAGUGUUUGGGUGUCAAACCCAUACGCGUAAUGAAAGUGAACGGAGGUGGGAACCCGCAAGGGCGCACCAUCGGCCGAUCCUGAUGUCUUCGGAUGGAUUUGAGCAAGAGCAUAGCUGUUGGGACCCGAAAGAUGGUGAACUAUGCCUGAAUAGGGUGAAGCCAGAGGAAACUCUGGUGGAGGCUCGCAGCGGUUCUGACGUGCAAAUCGAUCGUCAAAUUUGGGUAUAGGGGCGAAA